UACGAGGGGGGCAAGCGUUGUUCGGAAUUAUUGGGCGUAAAGGGCGCGUAGGCGGCCUUGUAAGUCAAAGGUGAAAUCCCUCGGCUCAACUGAGGAACUGCCUUUGAAACUGCAAGGCUUGAGGCCGGGAGGGGGUAGCGGAAUUCCCAAUGUAGCGGUGAAAUGCGUAGAUAUUGGGAGGAACACCAGUGCGAAGGCGGCUACCUGGACCGGUUCUGACGCUGAGGCGCGAAAGCGUGGGUAGCAAACAGG
rnacentral:rRNA from 1 species